rnacentral:rRNA from 1 species
UACAGAGGUCUCGAGCGUUGUUCGGAUUCAUUGGGCGUAAAGGGUGCGUAGGUGGCGCUGUAAGUCGGGUGUGAAAUCCUGGGGCUUAACCCCGGAACUGCAUUCGAUACUGCAGUGCUUGAGGACUGGAGAGGAGACUGGAAUUCAUGGUGUAGCAGUGAAAUGCGUAGAGAUCGGGAAGAACAUCUGUGGCGAAGGCGGCCAGCUGGGCUGUUGCUGACGCUGAUGCGCGACAGCGUGGGGAGCAAACAGG